rnacentral:rRNA from 1 species
UACGUAGGGUGCGAGCGUUGUCCGGAAUUACUGGGCGUAAAGAGCUCGUAGGUGGUUUGUCGCGUUGUUCGUGAAAACUCACAGCUUAACUGUGGGCGUGCGGGCGAUACGGGCAGACUAGAGUUCGGUAGGGGAGACUGGAAUUCCUGGUGUAGCGGUGAAAUGCGCAGAUAUCAGGAGGAACACCGGUGGCGAAGGCGGGUCUCUGGGCCGAUACUGACGCUGAGGAGCGAAAGCGUGGGGAGCGAACAGG